rnacentral:rRNA from 1 species
AUUGAACGCUGGCGGCAGGCCUAACACAUGCAAGUCGAGCGGAUGAAGAGAGCUUGCUCUCUGAUUCAGCGGCGGACGGGCGAGUAAUGCCUAGGAAUCUGCCUGGUAGUGGGGGACAACGUUUCGAAAGGAACGCUAAUACCGCAUACGUCCUACGGGAGAAAGCAGGGGACCUUCGGGCCUUGCGCUAUCAGAUGAGCCUAGGUCGGAUUAGCUAGUAGGUGAGGUAAAGGCUCACCUAGGCGACGAUCCGUAACUGGUCUGAGAGGAUGAUCAGUCACACUGGAACGGAGACGCGGUCCGUACUCCUACGGGAGGCAGCAGUGGGGAAUAUUGGACAAUGGGCGAAAGCCUGAUCCAGCCAUGCCGCGUGUGUGAAGAAGGUCUUCAGAUUGUAAAGCACUUUAAGUUGGGAGGAAGGGCAGUAAGUUAAUACCUAGCUGUUUUGACGUUACCAACAGAACAAGCACCGGGUAACUUCGUGCCAGCCGCCGCGGUAAUAC